rnacentral:rRNA from 1 species
GCUCCUUGAUUCAGCGGCGGACGGGUGAGUAAUGCCUAGGAAUCUGCCUGGUAGUGGGGGACAACGUUUCGAAAGGAACGCUCAUACCGCACACGUCCCACGGGAGAAAGCAGGGGACCUUCGGGCCUUGCGCUAUCAGAUGAGCCUAGGUCGGAUUAGCUAGUUGGUGGGGUAAUGGCUCACCAAGGCGACGAUCCGUAACUGGUCUGAGAGGAUGAUCAGUCACACUGGAACUGAGACACGGUCCAGACUCCUACCGGAGGCACCAGUGGGGAAUAUUGGACAAUGGGCGAAAGCCUGAUCCAGCCAUGCCGCGUGUGUGAAGAAGGUCUUCGGAUUGUAAAGCACUUUAAGUUGGGAGGAAGGGCAGUAAGUUAAUACCUUGCUGUUUUGACGUUACCGACAGAAUAAGCACCGGCUGACUCUGUGCCAGCAGCCGCGGUAAUACAGAGGGUGCAAGCGUUAAUCGUAAUUACUGGGCGUAAAGCGCGCGUAGGUGGUUUGUUAAGUUGGAUGUGAAA